GAUGAAGAACGUAGCGAAAUGCGAUAAGUAGUGUGAAUUGCAGAAUUCAGUGAAUCAUCGAAUCUUUGAACGCACAUUGCGCCCCUUGGUAUUCCAUGGGGCAUGCCUGUUCGAGCGUCAUUUGUACCUUCAAGCUCUGCUUGGUGUUGGGUGUUUGUCUCGCCUCUGCGUGUAGACUCGCCUUAAAACAAUUGGCAGCCGGCGUAUUGAUUUCGGAGCGCAGUACAUCUCGCGCUUUGCACUCAUAACGACGACGUCCAAAAGCACAUUUUUACACUCUUGACCUCGGAUCAGGUAGGGAUACCCGCUGAACUUAAGCAUAUCAAAUAAGCGGAGGA
rnacentral:misc_RNA from 1 species